rnacentral:tRNA from 1 species
GCGGCGGUGUUGGAAUUGGUAGACAAGCAUGCUUGAGGUGCAUGUACUCGAGAGGGUGUGAAGGUUCGAGUCCUUUCCGCCGCA